UACGUAGGGUGCGGGCGUUAAUCGGAAUUACCGGGCGUAAAGCGUGCGCAGGCGGUUUUGUAAGCCAGAUGUGAAAUCCCCGGGCUUAACCUGGGAACUGCAUUUGGGACUGCAAGGCUUGAGUACGGCAGAGGGGGGUAGAAUUCCUGGUGUAGCAGUGAAAUGCGUAGAUAUCAGGAGGAAUACCGAUGGCGAAGGCAGCCCCCUGGGUCGAUACUGACGCUCAUGCACGAAAGCGUGGGGAGCAAACAGG
rnacentral:rRNA from 1 species